rnacentral:sRNA from 1 species
GCCGGGCGUGGUGGCUCACGCCUGUAAUCCCAGCAUUUUGGGAGGCCAAGGUGGGUGGAUCACUUGAGGCCAGGAGUUCGAGACCAGCCUGGCCGACAUGGCAAAACCCUGUCUCUACUAAAAAUACAAAAAUUAGCCGGGCGUGGUGGCAGGUGCCUAUAAUCCCAGCUACUCAGGAGACUGAGGCAGAAGAAUUGCUUGAACCCAGGAGGCGGAGGAUGCAGUGAGCCAAGAUUGUACCACUGUACUCCAGCCUGGGCAACAGAGUGAGACUCCAUCUUA